rnacentral:rRNA from 1 species
UGGGGAGUAACCUAGCCGAAAGGCAGACUAAUACCGCAUAGUCUUCGAUGACGGCAUCAGAUUUGAAGUAAAGAUUUAUCGGUAAUGGAUGGGGAUGCGUCUGAUUAGCUUGUUGGCGGGGUAACGGCCCACCAAGGCGACGAUCAGUAGGGGGUUCUGAGAGGAAGGUCCCCCACAUUGGAACUGAGACACGGUCCAAACUCCUACGGGAGGCAGCAGCG